CCCUAUAUAGGAUAGAGAGAACAGAGAGGAGAUGUUUGUUGUGCUCUCUCUCUCUUCUUCUUGUGCUCGACUGUACGUGGUGGAGGAGCUCGGUUGGAGUUCGAGUGUCGCCGACGCCGCGCUGCGGUGCCGUUCGAGCGUACGUUCGUCGUCAUAGCAUCGCGAGGAGGCCGGGCGAGGGUGCGAUUCCGCCGUUCUCGACGUUGCGCCGAAUUGGGAUUAGCUAUUGAGGUGGGUUAAUUGUUGGUUUAUCUUCUAAGUAUAUAGAUUGUCGACACGUGUUGUUGUGUUGAUUCGUGGAUAAAGAUUGCUCGAUUC
rnacentral:lncRNA from 1 species